rnacentral:rRNA from 1 species
GGGUGCAAUCAUACCAACAUUAAUGCACCAGAUCCCAGCAGAACUCCGCAGUUAAGCGCGCUUGGGCCAGAGUAGUACUGGGAUGGGUUACCUCCCGGGAAGUCCUGGUGUUGCACCCU